GACGAACGCUGGCGGCGUGCUUAACACAUGCAAGUCGAACGGAAAGGUCCUGCCUUUGUGGGCUGCUCGAGGGGCGAACGGGUGAGUAACACGUGAGUACCCUGCACCUGACUUUGGGAUAACCUCAGGCAACUGGGGCUAAUACCGCAAAGGAGCUCCUGCUGCAUGGUGGGGGUUGGUUAGGUUCGGGGGUUGGGGAUGGAACCGCGUAGCAUUAGCUUGUUGGUAGGGUAGUGGCCUACCAAGGCGAUGACCGGUAGCUGGUCUGAGAGGAUGAACAGCCACACUGGGAGUGAGACACGGCCCAGAGUGCUACGGGAGGCAGCAGUGGGGAAUAUUGGACAAUGGGCGAAAGCGUGAUCCAGCAAUGCCGCGUGAGUGAUGAAGGCCUUAGGGUUGUAAAGCUCUUUUACCCGGGCUGAUAAUGACAGUACCGGGAGAAUAAGCUCCGGCUAACUCCGUG
rnacentral:rRNA from 1 species